UGCGGACCCUACGCCGAGUCCAGCCCGGGGCUGCUGGGCCAGCGGGAGCGGGAACCGGACGGCGCUCGCGUUCUGCCAGAGCGGAGAACGACUCGGGGACGGUGCGGAGGACCAGGGGAGGAGAUCCGCGCCCGCACGCACCAUCAGCCGAGAGGACGGCCCGCAUCGCGCCAGUGACCUAGGAGCGACUCGGGGACGGCUUCGGGCUCCCAGGCCCUCCUGGGCCACCGGGCACUGAGGAGAGCGGCGGCUGGAAACUGUGGGACCCGAAGGGCGGGAGCCCAGGGCCCGCCCCCGCCGGAGCGCCCCCGCCAUGGCCACGCCCCCGCCACGGGGAUGGGCAGGGCAAGCACCGGAAGUGCGUCACGCGGGAGCGUCUGCGUCGCCUACCCUGCGUGGCGCAGCUAGGUUCCGAGCGGCUUAGCCUCCGGGCGCCUGCGCAGUGGCGGUCCUAGAGACGCACUCGGUUGCCAUAGAGACGGGGGCUUGGGAGCGACGUCGCGCUCGCUGGCACUGGCGGCACUUGCCGCGCCGCAGCCACCUCUUUCCGACUCCACCAGUGCGGGCCCUAUCCGGGGUUUUGAGUCACGCAGACCUGGACACAGCGAGAAACGGCAGUCCGGGCCCGUCCUCCCGCCCCGGGUUCUGCACCCCAGAGUUGGACGCUUGCUUCUCGCUUUCUCCUGAGAGAAGUCUCCGCGUUUCUGAACAAUGCACUGCUAGUUUCUCAUUUCUUUCUUUCUUUCUUUUUUUUUUUUUGGAGACGGAGCCUCGCCCUGUCGCCCAGGCUGGAGUGCAAUGGCGCGAUCUCGGCUCAUUGCAACCUCCGCCUCCAGGGCUUAAACUAUUCUCUUGCUUCAGCCUCCCGAGCAGCUGGGACUACAGGCAUGCGCUACCACGCACAGCUAAUUUUUGCAUUUUUAGUCAAGACGGGGUUUCACCAUUUUGGCCAGGCUGAUUUCGAACUCCUGACCUCGUGAUCUGCCCUCCUAGGGCUCCCAACGUGCUGGGAUUAUAGGCGUGAGCCACCGCGCCCGGCCUCUCAUUUCUUAAUUGUAGACAUUGCGUACUUCCGGAGAAGGUCCCUGAGAACCUGGCUGAUCUUCCCCGCUGCACCCCUCACGUGGUCCUGUUAGCUCCCAAACUGUCAACCUGAAAGGAAACCCAGAGGCAGGCUCUCCAGGACAAGUGAGUUAAUCUGGGAAUCGCAGGGGGUUGCAGCCUAGGCUGUUCGUGCCAUGACAGAUCAUAGGCCUAUCUGAGAGGGCCGGGCGAAGGGGAAAAUACAGAUGAGCUCACAAAAGUUGUUUUGUAACAAAAACCACUGGCUGUGGGCGCUUGCUGCAGGAGUGGGCGUUAGCUUGUUGUUGGAGAGAGCCUUACCAGGCCGACGUCCUUGUGCAAGCUGCUUAUCUAGAAUACUGCAGUCCUGAGGAAUUUCCCUGCAGUAAGUCCGGUUACAGGCAAACGUGCAGGACGUGCAGGAGCGUCUUGUGAGGAGGCCUGCUGCAGGUAUUCCUGCAUGAGAGCUCCCCCUUCGUGGCCUCCCGACUCCAUUUGUUUAGGGAUUGGUGGAAGUAGUUCCAUUUUGGUACCUGCAACUUUCACAGCUGUCGUGAUGAAAUCAGGCUUAGCUCUUCAUGAUUGAGUACCUGCUGUUCACUGCUACAGUAUAAAACCAUGCCACAAUUCCUGUACAAUCUUUUUUUUUCUUUUGAGUUAAUAAUUACCUAAUAUUUUCACAUAUCUAGCUUUUUACUAACCCAUGGCCAGCCUUUUUUUCAAGUACCCCAACGUUUUCGCCACAUGCCUAACGAUACCGUUUUCCAAAGGCUCAAACACAUCCGUUGUGUCUAACUGAUUCUCCUGUUCCGACCUAGACCGAUCACUUCCUGACCCGGCUGCACAGCUCUUAUCUCGAGCUUUUCUCUGCUCUCAUCCUUGAGACUCACUUUGUCUGUCUCCUUUCUUGGAUUCCCUGUGUAAACGAAAAAUAAAAUCCUAAGCUCUCUAC
rnacentral:lncRNA from 1 species